CCUACGGGAGGCAGCAGUGGGGAAUAUUGGACAAUGGGGGCAACCCUGAUCCAGUCAUGCCGCGUGUGUGAAGAAGGCCCUCGGGUUGUAAAGCACUUUCAGUGAGGAAGAACGCCUGGUGGUUAAUACCCAUCAGGAAAGACAUCACUCACAGAAGAAGCACCGGCUAACUCCGUGCCAGCAGCCGCGGUAAUACGGAGGGUGCGAGCGUUAAUCGGAAUUACUGGGCGUAAAGCGCGCGUAGGUGGCUUGAUAAGCCGGUUGUGAAAGCCCCGGGCUCAACCUGGGAACGGCAUCCGGAACUGUCAAGCUAGAGUGCAGGAGAGGAAGGUAGAAUUCCCGGUGUAGCGGUGAAAUGCGUAGAGAUCGGGAGGAAUACCAGUGGCGAAGGCGGCCUUCUGGACUGACACUGACACUGAGGUGCGAAAGCGUGGGUAGCAAACAGGAUUAGAUACCCUGGUAGUC
rnacentral:rRNA from 1 species